rnacentral:rRNA from 1 species
AAAGGAAUUGACGGGAGCCCGCACAAGCAGUGGAGUAUGUGGUUUAAUUCGAAGCAACGCGAAGAACCUUACCAGAGCUUGACAUCCCUCUGAUUGGCUGGGUAAUGCCGGCCGUUCCUUCGGGACAGAGGAGACAGGUGGUGCAUGGUUGUCGUCAGCUCGUGUCGUGAGAUGUUGGGUUAAGUCCCGCAACGAGCGCAACCCUUAUGUUUAGUUGCUACGCAAGAGCACUCUAAACAGACUGCCGUUGACAAAACGGAGGAAGGUGGGGACGACGUCAAAUCAUCAUGCCCCUUACGCCCUGGGCUACACACGUACUACAAUGGCGCAAACAAAGGGCAGCGAACCCGCGAGGGGGAGCAAAACUCAUAAAAGGCGUCCCAGUUCGGACUGCAGGCUGCAACUCGCCUGCAUGAAGCCGGAAUUGCUAGUAAUCGCGGAUCAGCAUGCCGCGGUGAAUACGUUCCCGGGCUUUGUACACACCGCCCGU